GACGAACGCUGGCGGCGUGCUUAACACAUGCAAGUCGUACGGUAAGGCCCUUUCGGGGGUCCACGAGUGGCGAACGGGUGAGUAACACGUGAGUAACCUGCCCACAACUUUGGGAUAACGCUAGGAAACUGGUGCUAAUACUGGAUAUGUGCUCCUGCUGCAUGGUGGGGGUUGGAAAGCUCCGGCGGUUGUGGAUGGACUCGCGGCCUAUCAGCUUGUUGGUGGGGUAGUGGCCUACCAAGGCGGCGACGGGUAGCCGGCCUGAGAGGGUGACCGGCCACAGUGGGGGUGAGAGACGGACCAGACGCCUACGGGAGGGAGAAGUGGGGAAUGUUGGACAAUGGGCGCAAGCCUGAUGCAGCAACGUCGAGUGCGGGAUGACGGCCUUCGGGUUGUAAACCGCGUGCAGCAGGGAGGAAGCUUUUUGUGACGGUACCUGCAGAAGAAGCACCGGCUCACUACGUG
rnacentral:rRNA from 1 species